UAGAAGUUUUCGAUCCCUGGCUCAGGUAUGAACGCUAGCGGCAGGCCUAAUACAUGCAAGUCGAACGGGCUGGAGUAGCAAUACGUUCAGUUAGUGGCGCACGGGUGCGUAACGCGUAUGCACCUACCUUUUAUUGGGGAUAGCCCGAAGAAAUUCGGAUUAAUACCGCAUAAUAUCCUUUGAGGCAUCUGAAGAGGAUUAAAGCUACGGCGAUAAAAGAUGGGCAUGCGUGACAUUAGGCUAGUUGGUGGAGGUAACGGCUCACCAAGGCUACGAUGUCUAGGGGUUCUGAGAGGAUGAUCCCCCACACUGGUACUGAGAUACGGACCAGACUCCUACGGGAGGCAGCAGUAGGGAAUAUUGGGCAAUGGCCGAAAGGCUGACCCAGCCAUGCCGCGUGCCGGAUGAAGGCCUUCUGGGUUGUAAACGGCUUUUACCAGGGAAGAAAAUACCUUUGCGAAGGGAACUGACGGUACCUGGUGAAUAAGCACCGGCUAACUCCGUG
rnacentral:rRNA from 1 species